UACGAAGGGUGCAAGCGUUACUCGGAAUUACUGGGCGUAAAGGGUGCGUAGGUGGUUGUUUAAGUUUGGUGUGAAAUCUCCCGACUCAACUGGGAGGGUGCGCCGAAUACUGAGUGACUCGAGUGCGGGAGAGGAAAGUGGAAUUCCUGGUGUAGCGGUGAAAUGCGUAGAUAUCAGGAGGAACAUCGGUGGUGUAGACGGCUUUCUGGACCGUAACUGACGCUGAGACACGAAAGCGUGGGUAGCAAACAGG
rnacentral:rRNA from 1 species